rnacentral:sRNA from 1 species
CAGCUUGUUGUUUCAUUUCCAUCUCUCUCUGUUCACGCUCUUCCAUCUCAGUUAACUCUUUGUGGUAUAUUGCAAAAUUCAGAACUUGCAGUGCAGCUUCAACGUCAGUUUUUAGAACCUGCAAUGCAAGAUAAAUGCAACUUCAUUAGAUUGCCCUGCAUUUUCUAUCCUUCAAAACAAUGAGAUAAAACUGUUCCCAGAAUUAUAAUACUACAGUAGAAAGGACAAGUUUCUGUCAUGUUUCAGGGAACUAUAUGUCAGUUCAUCUAGAUAAUUCUUACAGGUUACUUGAUUAAACAAGCCCAUGGUGUAUGUAGCAAAUUACCUCAUGUCUCAAUUUCAUCUUGGCAUGAGCAGUAGAUAGACGAAUUAUGGUUUCCAGUGUCCUCGCUGUGAUCGGAAGUGUACCUCCACCAGACUAUAGAA